AAAUCUCGCCGGGCCUUUCUUGCUAGGUGAGCUCUUCCCAAAUAUCUCAGCUAUCUCUUGCCAUCUCACAGGUAUAUGUAUCGUCAAAGAAAGCAUGGAAGCAAGAAGCAAUGGGAUAACCAGACGCUUCACAGCUUAUAUCUAAUUCCACCUAAUUUUCUUACAAAUUCAAAGAGCUUCUUGACUAUGAAGAAGAGGAAGAGAAAGUCCCUGAAUCCGUUACCACCAAAGCCAGUUUUCUUUGCAUUAAGGUGGAGUUUGGAGCCUAUGGCAAUGGUUGUAAAGUGCUUUGAAAAUUUAUGAAACUACCCAAAGGAGGAGGGGGACCAAUCCAGUUUGGAAAGUAAUUCAAACAGUUUCUGUUUGUUUCUUUUUCCCUUUUCUUCAGUUUGUUUUGAAUUUUUUGGAUGGGCUUUUAAGUGAUGACUCUGAACAUUCUUUUUUGUUGUUUUUAUUAUUAGAUUUAGCUCUGGUUUUCCUCCCUUCUUCUGUAAAAAAUAAAAAAUAAAAACUGGUAUUUUGUUUUGAUUUUCUAUAAUUUUAGUUGGUUCCACUGUAGUUCAAGUUAAGGUCAUUUGUGGACACUUUGCUCAG